rnacentral:rRNA from 1 species
UACGGGGGGAGCAAGCGUUGUUCGGAUUUACUGGGCGUAAAGGGCGCGUAGGCGGUCAGCACAAGUCAGUUGUGAAAUCUCCGGGCUUAACUCGGAAAGGUCAACUGAUACUGUGCGACUAGAGUGCGGAAGGGGCAACUGGAAUUCUCGGUGUAGCGGUGAAAUGCGUAGAUAUCAGGAGGAACACCGGUGGCGAAGGCAGCCUUCUGGGCCAACACUGACGCUCAUGCACGAAAGCGUGGGGAGCAAACAGG